rnacentral:misc_RNA from 1 species
AAUCCAAUCAAGCCUGGCUUGGUAUUGGGCGUCGGGGUUCCCCCGCGCCUCAAUUUCACCGGCUGGCCGUCGCCCGUCUUAGCGUUGUGACACACUUCUCGCUAUCGACGGGACCGGACCACGCCGUCAAAACCCCACGAAUUUCAAUUGAAAUUUGAUUAAAGG